UACGUAGGGGGCUAGCGUUGUCCGGAAUCAUUGGGCGUAAAGCGCGUGUAGGCGGUCCGGUAAGUCCGCUGUGAAAGUCGGGGGCUCAACCCUCGGAUGCCGGUGGAUACUGUCGGGCUUGAGUACGGAAGAGGCGAGUGGAAUUCCUGGUGUAGCGGUGAAAUGCGCAUAUAUCAGGAGGAACACCAAUUGCGAAGGCAGCUCGCUGGGACGUUACUGACGCUGAGACGCGAAAGCGUGGGGAGCAAACAGG
rnacentral:rRNA from 1 species